UGGGGAAUAUUGGACAAUGGGCGCAAGCCUGAUCCAGCCAUGCCGCGUGAGUGAUGAAGGCCCUAGGGUUGUAAAGCUCUUUCAACGGUGAAGAUAAUGACGGUAACCGUAGAAGAAGCCCCGGCUAACUUCGUGCCAGCAGCCGCGGUAAUACGAAGGGGGCUAGCGUUGUUCGGAAUAACUGGGCGUAAAGCGCACGUAGGCGGAUUGGAAAGUUAGAGGUGAAAUCCCAGGGCUCAACCCUGGAACUGCCUUUAAAACUAUCAGUCUAGAGGUCGAGAGAGGUGAGUGGAAUUCCGAGUGUAGAGGUGAAAUUCGUAGAUAUUUGGAGGAACACCAGUGGCGAAGGCGGCUCACUGGCUCGAUACUGACGCUGAGGUGCGAAAGUGUGGGGAGCAAACAGGAUUAGAUACCCUGGUAGUCCACACCGUAAACGAUGAAUGCCAGUCGUCGGGUAGCAUGCUAUUCGGUGACACACCUAACGGAUUAAGCAUUCCGCCUGGGGAGUACGGUCGC
rnacentral:rRNA from 1 species